ensembl:lncRNA
UCCACAGGAAUUCUUUAUACACUAUCGUGUAUUCAUAGGCUCUCAAGGAUACUGCCCACCUUUGGAUUCUACGUGAGACCAUCUGUGGUACGGCCUGCAUCAAGGGCAACAACAAGGGCUUGUCAUCUGUCACUAUAGUGAAUUUCCGACCAUAAAUGUACUUGUGGAAACGUUUUAUCCUAAACAUCACUGCUAGUCCUUCCUUAGCUAAGUGUGAGCAGUUCUUCUCAUCUACAUUUAAUGUUCGUGAGGUGAAUCCUAUGGGUUUCUCAGUUCCAUCUGUCAUGUGAUGUGGCAGCAUGGCACCUACUCCAUGUGAUGUGUCACACAACAGCACAAUGUCAUUAUCUGCUGUAAUGCACCACUUCUGCAGACUGCAUCAUCUCUUUUGAUUUUUCAAAAUCAACCUUUUGUGCCUCUCCCCACUCUUUGUAUAGCAGUUGACAUGAUUAUGCAGGAACUUGUUAUAAUAGUAAAACAGCCUUCACCUCUGUCACAUUUGAAGGUGUGGGUGCCUCUUGGGUGGCUUGCACCUUCUCCUGGACUGGAGUAUUGUAGUAGAGUGAGUGAUUGACACAGCCUUGAUGUUUCUCCGCAGCAAGGAAGAGUGGAUUCAUUCAUUUUACUUUGUUCCUGCAGCGAGACCGUGGCCACAUAAACAAUUCUCUGAAGUCACGCGCGAAAGUGAAACUGGUGAAAAGGAGCAGGAUGUUUGUGUAAAGAAUUAUUCGCAGGGACGCGGAAGAGACGAAGAAACGUACAGAUGGCUGUGGAUGAAGAGAAAUUGCAGAACAUCCUAAGAGAACUGAAGGGGUCUGAAAUCAAAGAAUGUGUUCCACAUGUUGAAGAGUUGAUGAAAAAACCUCAGAUUCUUCACAGUGAUGUUUUGGAUUUGCUCACUGUUGUGGUGACCAGUUUACCUUCAAAGAAACCAGAAACAGCAAGACAACAGGCACCACGGUUCUGCUAUGUCAAAACUGGAGAGACUUAUGGUGCUCAUGAAACCAUAGUGAAAAAAGUGAAGAGAAGAAAAUGGAGGUCAUUAAAACAGGUUAGGAAGACAAAAAACAUGCAGGGAUGUGACAUCAUCAUUGUCUUCUGUCCAAUCACAUCCCGUACUGGUUCAGAUUCAGAAGCAGUCAAGAGACAUGCAGCAGUGUCAUCCAACAAUAAACCAGUCAUUGUGGUGCUGAUGCAUCACACCAGAGAUAAGGAGUUUUCACCAGGAGAAAGAAAAUGGUUUGAAGAUCCAAGGUUUGUGUUGGAGGUUCAUGUUCUCUUCCAUGAGACUCAGGGAGGAUUACUUCAAUGUGCACAAAAUCGACAGGCUGUCAGUAGAAUAAAAGAUCAGGUUCGCAAUCCCUACAAAAAUCAAAUGUGAGAUACUGUGUCGUUCAGCACAGAGGGCAGUAUCACAGUGGAGCAGGAGUAAACAGUAAACACUAAUAACGUAAACAGUGUUUGCUGAAACUGGCACUUCACUUCACCCUAGCCUGUGGCGCGCCUUGCUAGUCAUUGUAUGACACUGCUUGGCAGCAGCCGUAAAGAAUUUCCCUCUGGGAUUAAUAAAGUAUCUAAAAUAAAAUAAAAAUAAAAAUAAUAAACACAUUAGCAUGUCACAGAAUUGAAACAUAGAAUGUUGGCUGACCAGUGUAAUGUAUUUGGCACCUGUCUUGUAAAAAGUUUAAAUUUACUCACUUUGGUGUCACUUUAAGGCAGUUCCUGAAGUCGAUGAAUUAAUGUCCUGUUUUGUACAUUGAUCUUCUAAUCAAAGAUGUAUUGUUUGACCCCCUAUUAAAUAUUCUGAAUUUGAAGUUCUGAAACUUGUACUUUUUCAUUUUACGUACUAAUUGUGAAUUCCAGUCCCAUUUCCCUGAGAGACUUUUCUCAAAAUGAUAAUAGCUAUUAGACCUACAGUGGCUUGCAAAAGUAUUCAUACCCCUUGAACUUUUCCACAUUUUCUCACAUUAUGACCACAAACAUAAAUAUAUUUUAUUGGAAUGUUAUGUGAAAGACCAAC